rnacentral:rRNA from 1 species
GACAGAGGCCUCGAGCGUUAGGCGGAAUCACUGGGCUUAAAGCGUGUGUAGGCGGAUCGUUAAGUGCCUUGUGAAAUCCCACGGCUUAACUGUGGAACGGCUGGGCAUACUGGCGGUCUUGAGCCAUCUAGGGGCGACUGGAACAAACGGUGGAGCGGUGAAAUGCGUAGAUAUCGCUUGGAACGCCAACGGUGAAAACAGGUUGCUGGGGGUGUGCUGACGCUGAGACACGAAAGCCAGGGGAGCGAACGGG